GAGAGAUUUCUCUUCCGGCACACUGCGGGGACUGCCGGGGAAACCCGGAGGAAGGUGCGGGCGACGGCAGGUCCGCAUGCCCCGAAUCCCCCGGGCUACACGCGCGCAACAAUGGGCGGGACAGGGGGAUCCGACCCCGAAAGGGGAAGGUAAUCCCCAAACCCGCUCCCAGUUCAGAUUGCGGGCUGUAACUCGCCCGCAUGACGGCGGAAUCCCUAGUAAUCGGGGGUCACCAUUCCCCCGGUGAAUACGUCCCUGCCCC
rnacentral:rRNA from 1 species